GAGUGAGAUGUAAACUUUUGUUCUGAUAAUCGUCUGAGUUAUCCACAACAGAGCCUACUGUUUCCUCACAAAGGACACUAGUUAUAAGGCAGGCAGGAUACAACUUUGUACCAUGGCAUAAAUAAAGUGCCCUUGACAGGGAAAGGGAAGAGGAAUUAGUUAUUUCUAAAGAAGUCGGGGAAUAUUCAGAAAGUAAAGAUGAGUGUGGCAGUCUGAAUGAAGCAACUAGAAAUUUAACACUGAGAUGGCAGUCAAGGAUAGGCCCUUAGGGAAAAUCUAAGAAUUAGACAAAGGCAAGGUAAUAGAGAAAACUGAGAAGACAGAGGGGAAAAGAAAAAACCAAAAGGAAAUGGUGAACUCAAACCCAGAAAGGAGAACAUUCCAAGUCAGAAACAGUUUAUAAAGUUGUUUCCUGGGAGAUCAUGAGAUGUCAUCUGAGAAGAGGCCAUUUGAUUUGAAAUUAUGGAAGUCUUGAAGACAAUCUAGAUUAUAGUCAUUUGAGAGAUGAAAAGGAGAGAGAGACAGAGCAUGAACGGGGAAGGGGCAGAGAGAGAGGGAGACACAGAAUCGGAAGCAGGCUCCAGGCUCUGAGCCAUCAGCCCAGUGCCUGACGCGGGGCUCGAACUCACGCUCCGCGAGAUUGUGACCUGAGCUGAAGUCGGACACUUAACCGACUGAGCCACCCAGGCGCCCCAAUGUAAUUACAAAUUAUUGUAAUAAUGAAGAAGACUCAGUCUAAUGGCAAGACUUAAAUAAUACCGAGACCACCAUGUGGAUGAGCUAGCCUGCUGAAGAAUGAAAAGCCACAUAUGGAAAAGAAUCCAGCACCCUGGUCAAAAGCCAUACAGCCAUGAGCUGAGAGCCUGUCCAUCACCAUAUAUGUAAGUAAGGCCAUGGUAGGUCAUUAAGCCACCAGCGAUCUCAGUAGAUCACAGACACAAGAGUAAGCCCAGCAGAGCUUAGCCAAACUUGUCCAGAC